rnacentral:rRNA from 1 species
AUUGAACGCUGGCGGCAGGCCUAACACAUGCAAGUCGAGCGGAUGAAGGGAGCUUGCUCCUGGAUUCAGCGGCGGACGGGUGAGUAAUGCCUAGGAAUCUGCCUGGUAGUGGGGGAUAACGUCCGGAAACGGGCGCUAAUACCGCAUACGUCCUGAGGGAGAAAGUGGGGGAUCUUCGGACCUCACGCUAUCAGAUGAGCCUAGGUCGGAUUAGCUAGUUGGUGGGGUAAAGGCCUACCAAGGCGACGAUCCGUAACUGGUCUGAGAGGAUGAUCAGUCACACUGGAACUGAGACACAGUCCAGACUCCUACGGGAGGCAGCAGUGGGGAAUAUUGGACAAAGGGCGAAAGCCUGAUCCAGCCAUGCCGCGUGUGUGAAGAAGGUCUUCGGAUUGUAAAGCACUUUAAGUUGGGAGGAAGGGCAGUAAGUUAAUACCUUGCUGUUUUGACGUUACCAACAGAAUAAGCACCGGCUAACUUCGUG